rnacentral:rRNA from 1 species
AACAUCUUUUUUUGAUAAUAAUAUUAAGUUGACUCUGCUCUAUGAUUAAUUUUAAAUGGCUGCAGUAUUCUAACUGUACAAAGGUAGCAUAAUAAUUUGUUUUUUAAAUGAAAACUGGAAUGAAUGAGGUGAUGAGAUAUUAACUUUAUUUAAUUAAAAGUUUUAAUUUUAUUUUUAAGUUAAAAAGCUUAAAUUUUUUUAUGGGACGAGAAGACCCUGUAGAAUUUUAUAUGAUUUUAAUUAUUUAAAAAGUAAUUAAUUAAUAUUUUUUUGGGAGGAAAAUUAAAAUUUAAGACUUUAAUUUAUUAUUUACAUAAAUAUAUGAAUUUUAGUGAUUUUAUUUGAUUAAGUUUAAGUUUAAAUUACCUCAGGGAUAACAGCGUAAUAUUUUUUGAAAGUUCUUAUUGAAAAAAAUGUUU